ACCAUUAUUGGUGUUUUGACUAUGUAAAUACCAAUUAGCGUUCUCAAAAUUAAAAGCAGGACAAGUUUGUGAGAAUAUUUUUGUAUAGGGAAAGCAUUAAGGAUGGAAAUUUUUGUUCCUAUUAAUUCUCCAACAAUAUUUUUUCUGCAGUCCUCUCCACUGAUCAUUAUGACUGCCUAUUGUUUGCCCCGAAGCUCUCCCUUCCCCCACCCCCACCCCCAGUAAUUCUUCUAGUACCAGCAGGACAGGUGUUUCUAGAAAUUUCUAGACAUUUUCUAGAAAGGCUGGACUUAUCAAAACAUGCAGGGUACAAUAGCCUCAUGACUUCCACUUAAACUCUGUAAGGUCACCCUGGAAUUGCUGGAGUCCAGUGGAAAAGACUUCCAAGCAGUAACCAGUUCUCAUCUCCUUCUGAGGUCGGAGGUCCCUCUUGCUCUCCUAUUUCCACGCUUAGGUAUUAGACUAGUUCUGGAAAACACCAUGUGGGUGAAAAUGGCAUGUGGCCCUUCCAAGCUAAAGACCCUCUCAUGCCCUUUCUUCUACCAUGGUAACCUCCGAGACAUGUGCUGAGAUGGGAUGUCAGCCUGAUCCCCGGGGUCCCUAGCAAGAGGACAACUAUCCUGGGGAGUCACCUGCACCAAAGUUAACUCUUUACAAACCAGAAAUAGAAUUCGUGUGGGUAAGCCAACAGAGCUCAUAGGGCGUGCGUGUUACACACAUAACCUGCUGAGACAUGCACUCAGUGAAGGGAGACAGAAGGAUACAUGGGCUAACGUGGGGGAGACAGGUCUGCGGAGUGCCUGUGUGUGAUGCUACUGAAGAUGAAGGAUUCAGGCCUUGGGAAAGAUGCUCAGUUGGCUGCGAUGUGGACUGUGUGGCAGCUACGGACACGGGCCACUUGCAUCUUGGAUAAACCUGCUGCAGAAAGCGGAGGUGACUGAGGAUCUCCAACCACUGCAGCGUGAGUGCUGGGCCACGCUGUUCCCAGGCUGUUCCCGGCCCUGAUCCAGCCCAAGGGAGCCCCAGUGCUGAAGCAGGAUCCCUCUCAUUGGCAGAUGACGUUUGGGGUCGUGCGCCCAUGCGGUUGGGGUUUCCUUAGGGCUCCCCUGGGCUGCGGGUCUUCCUCCCCACUCCUUUCCUCUCUCUCUCCUUUCACAGCUCUUCCACCUGCCGUGUAACAGUAUCUGUGCGGUACUUGGAGGUAAAGCAAAAAGGAAGCAGAGGAUAAAGGGCUGCCAUGUUCCCGGAAAAGCACACAUCCCCAGCGCUGUGCCGUCCACCCGCCGCCACCAGCAGAGAUUUCUGUGUUUCCAUGCCUCUUUUUCUAUUUGCUGCCCCUCCCACGGAGAACAUUUCACUAAUUUCUGUCCUACCACAGACAGUAUCUCUCACAGAUAUGAAGUCUAGAAGCUGGAGAGCAAAGUGUCAGCAGGGGUGGAUUCUGGUGAGACCCCUCUUCCGGGCUUGUCCACAGCCUCCGUCGUCCCUCUGUGCCUCACUGGGCAUCCUCCUGGGUGGAAACACAGAGAGAAAGAGAGCCCUUUCUCUCUUGCUCUGCUCAUGAGGACACUAACCCCGUCAUGAGUGUCCCUUCUUCACCUCCCAAAGGCCCUGACCCCCAGUACCGAUUAGGAUUUCAAUGUAUGAACUUGGGGAGGACGCACGCAUUUGCUCCAUAACAGACCCCCACUGGCUCCUUGCGUUAGACACAACGCCUUAAUUCUGCCCGGGAAGCCGCGGUCCUCUUUGCUCACUGCUUUCUAGUUGUUAUUUCUGCUGGUCCCCACUUGCAGCUUCAGGGACCCUGUUCAAGGUCCAUGCCUUUUGCAACUGGAAAAGGGGACCGUGCAGAAGAAGCCUGUGAUUUUAUUUAUUAUUUAUUUAUGCUUUUUAGGGCCACACCCACAGCAUAUGGAGGUUCCUAGGCUAGGGGUUGAAUCGGACCUACAGCUGCCGGCCUAUACCACAGCCACAGCAACACAGGAUCUGAGCUGCGUCUGCGACCUUCACCGCUGCUCAUGGCAGCACCAGAUCCUUAACCCACUGAGUGAGGCUGGGAUUGAAUCUGCAACCUCAUGGUUCCUCGUCAGAUUCGUUUCUGCUUCACCACUAUGGGAAAUCCAAGUCUGUGCUUUCUUAGGCUCCGACUGCUCAGAAGAGGCCACACACACACAGCCCCUCAGCAAGAACUUCUGACACCCAAGGUGUUGCAACAACCACCCAUGGCGUCCGAAAUGCACGUCCUGCUUCCUGACGUUCUAGUCCUCCGAUUAUCCAUUAGGGUCCAAACUCAGUGACUCCUUUCCCUUCUUGGGUCGUGAGCUUGAUGUUUGUGUCUAAUCUCUUCACUAUUAAUCCUUGCAUGUCCCGGAAAGCAGUGGACUUCAUCAUCUAUUUCCCCGAUCUUCCUCUAGCUCUUAUACUCACCGUACACCCUGUUCCAGAACCUGUGACUCCAGCCUCUGGAGGCACUGGGGCGGCUGACAGGCCCUUGCCCAAGUGUAGGUUAGAUCCUGGAGGUGGCUGGUGAGCUAGAGAGUAGAAUUUGGGAUUACUCUGGCCCUCACGCCCUGCUGGUACUGGGCUCUUUAAAUUCAAACAGAGACCCUGGCUGGCAAUUAUUGUAGUUUCCCGGUCCAUCUGGUUUGAACUGAUCCUUUCGUUUUGAUUCAACUGGGCAGAUGAAAUCUCAGUGGUUUCAGUAUCGAGUAUUGGCAGGGUCUGCCUGACUGGAGGAUGGAGCCAGCAUCCUCCCAUAUGGUCUGAUUUCAGAGGCAUUGGAGGGGACCAAACACUCCUGGCGUCACCACUUACCCACAUGUCCAUUGUGAUUUUGUGCUUGCGGAUGGCGGCUUUACCACUUAACCACGUGUCCACUGUGAUUUUGAGCUUUCUAAUGGCGCCUGAGGUUUUGCCACAAGAACUUCUGCCCGUGGGUCUAAUGAUCAGUGAAGGUGGGUGUCCCACUGCAUCAGCUCUUGACAUCAUCAUGAGAAUUAAGAACCCACUGGCAUUUCAUUCCAUUUAUUUACACUUCCUCCCCUUUCCGUGCGGAUUUGAUGAAGCUACAAUACGAUUGGGUAACACAGUCAAAUUAAUACAUUUAAAAUAUGGAAAUUGAUGAUAAAUGUAAGAGCAACCAAUCAAAAUGAAGAAGGUUACUACCUUGAAAAGGUCCCUCCAUGUGGUAAUUUAAGGACUCGUAUGCAAUGAUCAAUAGGAUAAGGGAAAUGAGAUGCUUCCAACCUGAGGAUUGACCUAAUUAUUUGCAUUUCACAGAAGAAGAGAUUGAGCCUCUUUGAGCUCCAGUGAGUUGCCUUUAGUCAUCUAUGCAGUGAUCGUGAAUAUUGAAACCUGGGUCUGCCUGGCUCUCAAAUGCUUUCCUAAAUCGUAUGCCACUCGCUUUCAAAAACAUGGUUCUGAAAGUCAAUCUGUCUCCUUCACAGCUUUGCCUGAAGCCAGCCCUGGAUAUAGGUAUUUAAAAAGGAGAAAGGAAUGGGCUUAAUUUGGCAGAUAUUUCUAGUUUAUACUCUUAAAAGAAACCGUAAUCUUUCCUGCACAGGUAAAGCUAAGGAAUUAAUCUUGCUUCAUCGAAAGAAACAGCACGUGACCCAUGAGGGCUGUAGGCACAUUAAAUUUCUCUCGGAGCGUGGUUUAUACCACUGCAGCAUUAGUCAUAUUUGCGCUGUCUGACUUUUUUUUUUUUUUUAACCAAAAUGCCUCAUUUAAAUGCUGACAGAUUGGUUGGCAUCCUAAAUGUCUUUGAUAUGUAAUCAUAAAAUGGUGUGACUUGUGAAAACGUGGUCUAUAAAAUGGCUGUUACUCAGACUAAUUCCACGGGAGCAUUUGAUUGACAGUCAGGACUUGUGCAGGAAGUGCUCUCCGUUGAGAAUUUGGGGGGGGGAUGGGCUCAAUGCAGUAUGUUGUUAUUUAGAUGAUAUUUAAAGUUUCUUUUGUUUUGAUGUUAAAAUACUGAAAUGCACGUGACUUCUUGUCUCAGGACACCCACAUGGUUUGGGUGGAGUGGGGGCGUGGGGGGCACUUACUUAAAUUUUCUCAUUGUCUCUCCUGAUUCCUCAGAACUCAGAAUCCUUUAGAGAGGAAGUCCUGAGACAGAGACAGGCAAUGGGCAGAGCUCCUUUCUGCUGGGAAAUGUUGAAUACUCUGUCCUGGAGGGCCCUGUCCCAGGAUGGGGCUGGUUCACCUGGGCACUUGGUGAUCCUGCCACAGCAGGAAGUCUGAGGUGCCUCUUGGCUCAGGUUACAUGUCUGUAGGCCUGGAUCGCUUAUGGGGGGUUCAGAACCUAUAGCGGGAGUUGAAUAUACUUAUGAUUACAUGACAUCUUGCGUGGCUGUAUUCCUUUACUUACUUGAAGGCCAUUGCUACUCAGUCCAGAGAUGUCUCUGUAAUGAACACAGACCAAACACAAGGGGUGAACAUAUUCAUUAGAAGAGAUCUGAGAGGAGUUCCCGUUGGGCCUCAGAGGGUUACAAACCCACCUACUAUCCAGGUUUGAUCCCUGGCCUUGCUCAGUGGUUAAAGAUCCAGCGUUGCCAUGAAAUUUUGUGUAGGUUGCAGAUGCGACCCCGAGUUGCAGUAGCUGUGGCAUAGACUUGCAGCUGCAGCUCCAAUUCACCCCCUAGCCACCUGGAAACUUCCAUAUGCUGCAGGUGUGGCC
rnacentral:lncRNA from 1 species